rnacentral:rRNA from 1 species
GAUGAACGCUAGCUACAGGCUUAACACAUGCAAGUCGAGGGACCGGCGCACGGGUGAGUAACACGUAUCCAACCUGCCCUUUACUCGGGGAUAGCCUUUCGAAAGAAAGAUUAAUACCCGAUGUAAAGGAUGGGGAUGCGUUCCAUUAGGUUGUUGGUGAGGUAACGGCUCACCAAGCCUUCGAUGGAUAGGGGUUCUGAGAGGAAGGUCCCCCGCAUUGAAACUGUGUCACGGUCCAAACUGCUACGGGAGGCAGCAGUGAGGGAUAUUGGUCCAUGGGCGUUAUCCUGCACCACCCAGGUAGCGUGAAGGAUGUAGGCUUAUGGAUCGUAAACUUCUUUUAUAUACGAAUAUGUAUUAUAUGAAUAAGGACCGGCUACCUCCGUGCCAGCAGCCGCGGUAAUA